rnacentral:lncRNA from 1 species
UCCAUAUAGGCGUGUCAAUGCGUUUGGUUCAGAAGCAUUACGCAGCCACUUGAAAUAGCUAACUUUCUUGUUUUAAAACAAGUCAUUCAACAUAACAGCAAAAACAGUGACUUGGAUGAGCAAUCUCAGUGGAAGUGAACAGCGGAAAACAGAGCAGAUGGUGGGAAAGAAUCCAGAAGCAGUAUCUUCUGAAGAAAUGAGGAAGACAGCAACAGUUGUCUGUAGACCACAACUGGAAACUGCUGUUACCAAGUAUUUGAGGUUUGUACAUAGCAAGAAUACAGUGACAACAGGAGAGAAUAUUAGCACCAUUUCAAUCAUCCAUAGAGUAAGCAUUUAGAACUUCUUGCCUUGUGUUGAACUAAAGGGCAGCAACUGUCCUAAGAAGG